UUUUUUUUUAUGUGGUGUUGUGAGCAUCUUUCACAGUUCGACUCCAGAUAAGUGGUGAGACGGAAGAGAUCUGGUUCCACCUGGUGACGAUAAGGCGGAUUUUUUGUUCAACAUUCACUGUCUGGUAGACGAAGCCUACGAAUGGUGAGUGUUCUUCUUUCGCAAUGACCGUCUGUGGGCUUUCUCAUUCGACUGGGUUUCAGUUAGGAGUUUGUCAGUGAAACGUUAGCUGUAAAACGAAACUGUAAAGUUGUUUCGCUUAGCUAAGCUAGACAGAUGAAGAUGGCAAGCCUCAAGAGGAGCUUCGCGCAUUUGUCUUCGAGUAGCUUUAAGUUAGGCCUAACUGAAACCCCAUUCUGUUCGUCACAGAGCAACGGUCCCUGAUAUAGCUGACGCAGUUGGGCUUUGACGAACGGAAUGUUUCCUUUUUCUUGCGUCAACUGAAGAGGAACCUCGCGUUUCAGUUCGUAAGCCAAAUGGGUGUUACGACAAAGGUAAGCAGUGAACUUUUUUGUCCACCUUCGAUUCCAACUCCAUCGUGGUUAGGGCUAGCUUACGGUCGCGCUAUAAGGUCUAGAAUUCGCCGGGAAAAACGCGUUCGGCUUUUAGUUUGUAACUGUCACUUCCGUUAAUAAAAUGGUCCUUUGUCUUUCUUUCUUCACUCCCCCCCCCCCUUUUUUUUUUUGACGCAAACAUGCACUAGCUUCUUGGUUGAGGCAGGUACAUUUUUGCUGCCUCGUUGCCCUUUUGCUCUGUCAUUUUGUAUAUCUUGUAUACUUGACCACCAUUGCAAUAAAACCUUGCUUCAUUAUCUUGACUUUGUCUUUCAUCAAUCCCUGAUACGCAAACAUGCACUAGCUUACGGGCUGAGGCAGGUACAUUUUAACCGCCCUCCCCCUUUCCAUUUCCAGACUCCAGCCUGCUGCAGCGCAGCCUCGUUUUCCUGGUUUGCGCAAUCACAUCGUCCGGCAACGACAUGCCCAAGCAGAACAUCGUGAAGAACUGUUCUGCAGCCCGACAACGCAGAGCUCUUUCAGCAGCAGCACCAUCGCCACCACUACUAACUGUUCCCGACGUGGUCAAGACAUCAGUGUGAAAGAGGAAUCUUGGAGCCUUUUUGUACUGUUUCCUGUGUUCUUAUUCCUUGUUGCGAAAUAAACAUAUGUUCCUA